rnacentral:rRNA from 1 species
AUUGGUGGUCAGUCCAGCGACUAUUGUUUUGAUUUUAGAAGCCAAACAGUCCUGGGCCUAGCUAGAACUUGGGUGGGAGAAUACCUGGGAAUCCAAGAUACUGCACACA